AAUUAUGACGCCCUAAAUGCCAAGCUCUCCAAAAGUCUGCCAUUGCCCUUGCUGUCACCCUGAACAGUUCUGAAAAUUCAAACCCUGCAGCCCCCAGAGCAUGCCCUGGGUUUCUCAGCCACGCCUCACCUGGGAAAUCUGAGUGAUGAUGACGUGCAGGCAGCAGGAAGACACGCAGUAAACCCAGGAGCCUGUGAUGAGCUCAGAAGAGGGGAUCUUCCCAAUCCAGGGAUUGAACCUGUGACUCCUGCAUUGGCAGGUGGAU
ensembl:lncRNA